GAUCCUGGCUCAGAAUGAACGCUGGCGGCAUGGAUUAGGCAUGCAAGUCGAACGAGAAAGCGCCCUCGGGCGCGAGUAAAGUGGCGAAAGGGUGAGUAACACGUGAGGAACCUGCCCCCUGGCCCGGAACAAGCCUGUGAAAACGGGUCUGAAACCGGAUGAGGCCCCUUCCCGCAUGGGAAGUCAGCCAAAUAUUCAUAGCCAAGGGAUGGCCUCGCGGCCCAUUAGCUAGUUGGCGGGGUGACGGCCCACCAAGGCUACGACGGGUAGGUGGUCUGAGAGGAUGGUCACCCACACUGGGACUGAGACACUGCCCAGACUCCUACGGGAGGCUGCAGUCGAGAAUCUUCCGCAAUGGGCGCAAGCCUGACGGAGCGAUGCCGCGUGAGGGACGAAGGCCUUCGGGUCGUAAACCUCUGUCGAGGGGGACGAACGCAAUGACGGUACCCCUCAAGAAAGCCACGGCUAACCACGUGCCAGCAGCGGC
rnacentral:rRNA from 1 species